UCCAGAAUAUUCAGCUCUCAUGGCGCUUGCACAGCAACAUGCACUUCUGCCCCAAGCAACAGGGAGGGGUGGGCUCCGAGUUGCCCCCGGCAAGUAGGUGCUGAAACCCAGAACAGACAUACACCAGUUUACUCUGAACUUUCAGGAGGUGCAGCUCAAUCCUCUGCCUAACUGUUGGGAGAACCAGGAAUUGGGGAAAACGCUUCACGCCUAGCGCGCAGAUCUUCUAGAACCAUGUCAAGAAACAACGUCGUCUCCCCCUGUCUAUAGAUACUGGGAUUUCCUUUGCCCCCACAAGAAAGAAGUCAGCUCGUCUGCCCUGGCAUGUUCACAGUUACAUGGCUGCUCAGAUACUCCCAACAAUAGUCUAAGCCAGGCUUUAUGAUAUUAUAUGGACCCUGAUUAAUAAUAAAUCAAGUCCUGGAGACAAGGAGCCAGUUAAUCCAUUAGGUUUGUUCUUGGUUGCAUAGAAUGGAUGUCUUAGGAAUAGGCAUAUCAUAAUGGAAUUCAAAUCCCAGCUCUACAUCACAAUGGAUGAAUCAUGUUGGGAAGUGUGCCCUUUCAACAGGUAGAAACAGAAUCAAGGCCAUCCUACACUAUAAAAUGAAGAUAGUUAUUGAUUCCCUCCCGAACAUCCUUCCCUCCUCUAUGAUUCACAUAUACAAUAUUCGCUCGGGACCACAGAGUUCCUCCAGGAGUGCUAAUAACAAUAUGCCUGACCACAGUAGCAAACACUCACGCGGGAAUGUUAUUAGACCUCGGGCACCGUUCUAAGUAUAUCUGACUUUCACAGAAGCACCCUGAGAUUCUACACUCUCUGGGUGCUAAUUUGCCCUUGAGAUAUCCUAGCAGGCUUACGCCAAGCUCAACGGACCGGAGCCUCCCUUGUCCCAAGUUGGACCUACCCGUGGCGACACGUUUUGCUCGGAAGUUGAGGAAACAUGGAGCUAUUGCCAUCACUGGCAAAUCAGCUUUCGAUGAAAUAUUCAAGACAGCUAGAAGCUAAGCAGGAUAACUGAAUUCACAACCAUUUGCUACAGGACCAUAAUUUAAUGGCAGCAUUAUAAUUUGCUAAAUACCAUUACCGUGGCACCGGGUCCUAUUAAUCAAAAACAGGAAAAGCUGUACACAGCAAUUUUUCUUUACUAUUUGUAGUGGCUUAUUACUGGUGCUUACCUCUAGAGUAGAUGUUACCUUUUUAGCUUCCAUAAUCAAAUACUCUAAAAAUAAGUCAAAUUUGAUUACUUCCAAAUUCUUAAAAUCUAGUGCCUGCCUACUGAAGUAGAAUUCCUAAAUGUCUCCUUUGAAACAUUACAUUCGCCACAUAAAAUGGCAGCUCCCAAAAGAGCUACUAUUUUUAUAAAUCAAUAAGCAAUAAGAAUUAUGUACUGACAGGGCUGGAGGGGAAAGUGGGAGUGAGGGGUUCGUGUGUUUGGUCUAAAUGGAACAGUGGUCUUGCAACGAAGGUAUCAUUAUCAGUUUUCAGAGACCAAACAACUGGAGUUGAGAGUGGUCCAAGGUCAUCCGGUUAGUUUGGUGGGGAAUCCAAGGUAGGAGCCCAGCUCUCUGACACUGGACCUACAUGUUCUGUUUUAGUCUGCUCAGGCUAUCCUAACAAAAUGCCACAGACUGAGAGGCUGGCACAACAGACAUUUUUUUCUCUCAGUUCUGGAAGCUGGGAAGUCUAGGAUCGAGGUGCUGGCGGAUUUGAUACUUAGUGAGAGCCCACUUCCUGGCAUACAGACGGCAGCCUUCUUGCUAUGUCCUCAUACAGUAGACAGAGGAGGCU